rnacentral:rRNA from 1 species
GUGAACCGCGAAUGGCUCAUUAAAUCACACCUAAUCUACUGGAUAGUUAACAGGUACUUGGAUACCUGCGGUAAUUCUGGAGCUAAUACAUGCGAAAAGCCUCGAACUUACGUGAGAGGUGCUUUUAUUAGAUCAAAACCAAUCGGCUUCGGCUGUACUCUUGGUGACUCUGAAUAACUUUGGGCUGAUCGUAUAGCCUUGCGCUGACGACAUAUCCUUCGAAGGUGUGCCCUAUCAACUGUCGACUGUGGCAUAGACGCCCACAGUGGUUUUGACGGGUAACGGGGAAUCAGGGUUCGAUUCCGGAGAGGGAGCCUUAAAAACGGCUACCACAUCUAAGGAAGGCAGCAGGCACGCAAAUUACCCAAUGAUCGAAGAUCGAGGUAGUGACGAAAAAUAACGAUCCAGGACUCAUCCGAGGCCCUGGAAUCGGAAUGAGUACACUUUAAAACCGUCCCCGAGGAUCCAUUGGAG